AGUGAACGCUGGCGGUAGGCCUAACACAUGCAAGUCGAACGGCAGCACAGUAAGAGCUUGCUCUUACGGGUGGCGAGUGGCGGGCGGGUGAGGAAUACAUCGGAAUCUACUUUUUCGUGGGGGAUAACGUAGGGAAACUUACGCUAAUACCGCAUACGACCUACGGGUGAAAGCAGGGGAUCUUCGGACCUUGCGCGAUUGAAUGAGCCGAUGUCGGAUUAGCUAGUUGGCGGGGUAAAGGCCCACCAAGGCGACGAUCCGUAGCUGGUUUGAGAGGAUGAUCAGCCACACUGGAACUGAGACACGGUCCAGACUCCUACGGGAGGCAGCAGUGGGGAAUAUUGGACAAUGGGCGCAAGCCCGAUCCAGCCAUACCGCGUGGGUGAAGAAGGCCUUCGGGUUGUAAAGCCCUUUUGUCGGGAAAGAAAAGCAGCAGGUUAAUACCCCGCUGUUCUGACGGUACCCAAAGAAUAAGCACCGGCUAACUUCGUG
rnacentral:rRNA from 1 species